rnacentral:tmRNA from 1 species
GGGGAUGAAAGGUUUCGACAGGGAAGGCUGGUCGAGGAUAGCAAGCCGAGGAGCUCCACCUCGUUAAUCAGGGGCACACUAAACACAAACGGCGAGCGUCAACUCGCACUGGCUGCGUAAGCAGCCACGCUCCCCCGGUCUCUCUCUGGUGGGCCGGGAUGGGGCGUCAGAAAGCCGGAGUGCGCCAGCCCUCACGCCGAUGCGGGCUGGCAAAGGGGGAAACCCGGUAUCGGCUGGCUUCCGAGGGACUCCGUCGGCAUGAGGCCCUCGGUGGCGAGAUUCCAAAGAGCCGGCUAAGCUUGUAGAAGUCCUCGGUCUAAUUCUUUGGACGCGGGUUCGAUUCCCGCCAUCUCCACCU